rnacentral:rRNA from 1 species
GACGAACGCUGGCGGCGUGCCUAAUACAUGCAAGUCGAACGCACUCUCGUUUAGAUUGAAGGAGUUUGCUCCUGAUUGAUAAACAUUUGAGUGAGUGGCGGACGGGUGAGUAACACGUGGGUAACCUGCCCUAAAGUGGGGGAUAACAUUUGGAAACAGAUGCUAAUACCGCAUAAAACCUAACACCGCAUGGUGUAGGGUUGAAAGAUGGUUUCGGCUAUCACUUUAGGAUGGACCCGCGGUGCAUUAGUUAGUUGGUGAGGUAAAGGCUCACCAAGACCGUGAUGCAUAGCCGACCUGAGAGGGUAAUCGGCCACACUGGGACUGAGACACGGCCCAGACUCCUACGGGAGGCAGCAGUAGGGAAUCUUCCACAAUGGACGAAAGUCUGAUGGAGCAACGCCGCGUGAGUGAAGAAGGUUUUCGGAUCGUAAAACUCUGUUGUUGGAGAAGAAUGUAUCUGAUAGUAACUGAUCAGGUAGUGACGGUAUCUAACCAGAAAGCCACGGCUAACUACGUG